GACGAACGCUGGCGGCGUGCUUAACACAUGCAAGUCGAACGGAAAGGCCCUGCUUUUGUGGGGUGCUCGAGUGGCGAACGGGUGAGUAACACGUGAGUAACCUGCCCUUGACUUUGGGAUAACUUCAGGAAACUGGGGCUAAUACCGGAUAGGAGCUCCUGCUGCAUGGUGGGGGUUGGAAAGUUUCGGCGGUUGGGGAUGGACUCGCGGCUUAUCAGCUUGUUGGUGGGGUAGUGGCUUACCAAGGCUUUGACGGGUAGCCGGCCUGAGAGGGUGACCGGCAAGAUGGGGAGUGAGAUAGGCCCCAGACCCCUGCGGGGGGCAGAGGGGGGAAAUAUGGAACAAGGGGGGGAAGCGGGAGGCAGAAACCCCGGGUGCGGGAGGACGGCUUGGGGGUUGAAAACCGUUUUCGCGUGUGAGGAAGGGGGAGGGAGGGUAAGGGAUAAAGAAGCACCGGCUAACUAGGUG
rnacentral:rRNA from 1 species